CCUACGGGAGGCAGCAGUGAGGAAUAUUGGACAAUGGGCGCAAGCCUGAUCCAGCCAUGCCGCGUGCAGGAAGACGGUCCUAUGGAUUGUAAACUGCUUUUAUACAGGAAGAAACACCUCUACGUGUAGAGACUUGACGGUACUGUAUGAAUAAGCAUCGGCUAACUCCGUGCCAGCAGCCGCGGUAAUACGGAGGAUGCAAGCGUUAUCCGGAAUCAUUGGGUUUAAAGGGUCCGUAGGCGGUUUAAUAAGUCAGUGGUGAAAGCCCAUCGCUCAACGAUGGAACGGCCAUUGAUACUGUUAAACUUGAAUUAUUAGGAAGUAACUAGAAUAUGUAGUGUAGCGGUGAAAUGCUUAGAGAUUACAUGGAAUACCAAUUGCGAAGGCAGGUUACUACUAAUAUAUUGACGCUGAUGGACGAAAGCGUGGGGAGCGAACAGGAUUAGAUACCCUGGUAGUCCACGCCGUAAACGAUGGAUACUAGCUGUUCGGAGCAAUCUGAGUGGCUAAGCGAAAGUGAUAGUAUCCCACCUGGGGAGUACGUUGCAAGAAUGAAACUUAAGGAAUUGACCGGNUGAGAGNGCGAGGACGACGACGAGGGAGGAGG
rnacentral:rRNA from 1 species